ACAAACCAAAGACCUUUCAACAUGAACAUAGUGGGCUAUUACAAAAAUAUCAGAACAAAUGUUGGUAACAACUUUUACUAAUCUGCCAUUUUUAGAUAUGUUUAAUGUAAGGCUGGUGCUCACUUUGAUCCUGCGUCAUUUUGUAGCCUUAAAGAAUUGAUUUAGUUGAUCUUAUGGAGAACUCGGCCAAGAAGCAUAAGGACCUUGUAGCUUUAGCCUUUAGAGAUGCACUUGUGAUAUUGGCCGUGCAGCCCCAAGUGAUGAAUUUAUUAAAAGAAAAUUGGUUAUUGUUGGCAAAGCAUUCUCUCCACCAGCUUCAUAUGUCAGGGAAGUUGGGGGAAGUUAGUAGGAAAAGCUCAUGACGAGUUGAACAGUUAUUACUAGUAUUAGGCUUACAAAUACCAGCGACUUGGGAUUAAAAAAUCUCUCUCUUUCGACAAUCAAGAUGCUUUGUGAUCUAUUUUUAUCUCUGCUUUUGAUUACAUAAUUCUUCUUUUCUCGCAAUUUACUUCUUCAGUACAAUUUACGCUUUGCUUGCAAUCUUUUAUUUUUCUCCGCAUUUAGCUUCGCAUAAAUUCACACUUUGUCGAGUCGCCAUUUCGUGCAAUUUGUGCGUGAGGUAAGGAACCGUGGAGCAAUCUAAGUGGCUCUUGGUGCAAUUUGUCUAUUUCUGCUUGAAUCUAGUCACAUAAUUCGAUUGAUUUAAAGAGAUCUGGAGAUCCAAAUGCUACUCUAGAGGAGCAACGUAGAGCUGAAAUUACGUAAUGGGUUUUGUGUUUGAUAAUAAAGUUACCUUCGCACAAAUCAAGUUAUGUCCGAGUCCUGAGAGGCAGUAAAACCGGAGGAUUACUUUCACAUCUCAACCUGAAUUUAUCAAAAAAAUAUUUCAUAACUGGAACGAGUGUAUCUAUAAUUUCUCGUGAUUGGCAUGGUGAUCUUACCGAUGUACUUCUCCUCUUCAAGCACAAGCCCUUGCACUGAAACAAGCUUUACUUUUUCUCUAGCCCUAAAGGAUGA
rnacentral:lncRNA from 1 species